rnacentral:rRNA from 1 species
UGGGGAAUUUUGGACAAUGGGCGAAAGCCUGAUCCAGCAAUGCCGCGUGUGUGAAGAAGGCCUUCGGGUUGUAAAGCACUUUUGUCCGGAAAGAAAUCCUUGGCUCUAAUACAGUCGGGGGAUGACGGUACCGGAAGAAUAAGCACCGGCUAACUACGUGCCAGCAGCCGCGGUAAUACGUAGGGUGCAAGCGUUAAUCGGAAUUACUGGGCGUAAAGCGUGCGCAGGCGGUUUGCUAAGACCGAUGUGAAAUCCCCGGGCUCAACCUGGGAACUGCAUUGGUGACUGGCAGGCUAGAGUAUGGCAGAGGGGGGUAGAAUUCCACGUGUAGCAGUGAAAUGCGUAGAGAUGUGGAGGAAUACCGAUGGCGAAGGUAGCCCCCUGGGCCAAUACUGACGCUCAUGCACGAAAGCGUGGGGAGCAAACAGGAUUAGAUACCCUGGUAGUCCACGCCCUAAAACGAUGUCAACUAGUUGUUGGGGAUUCAUUUCCUUAGUAACGUAGCU